GAUGAACGCUGACAGAAUGCUUAACACAUCAGCAAUUGAUUGGUGGCGGACGGGUGAGUAACGCGUAAAGAACUUGCCUCACAGCUAGGGACAACAUUUGGAAACGAAUGCUAAUACCUAAUACUGUGAGAGAGCUUUGCGUCCCAUUAGCUAGUUGGAGAGGUAACGGCUCACCAAGGCGAUGAUGGGUAGCCGGCCUGAGAGGGUGAUCGGCCACAAGGGGAACGAUACACAGCCCUUACUCCUACGGGAGGCUGCAGUGGAGAAUAUUGGAGAAUGGACGAAAUUCUGAUCCGGCAAUUCUGUUGGAACGAUUAUUUUUUCGGAAGGUAAAGUGCUUGCAGAUGGGAAGCGGUACCAACAGAUGAAGUGACGGCUAAUUACGUGCCAGCAGCCGCGGUAAUA
rnacentral:rRNA from 1 species